GCUGCCGUAAAGCGAGUGCCAGGGCUCUCAGGAUGUCGACUCUCCAAACCCGGAAUAUCUGCUAUCGAGUCCGUUCGCCAACCAGACAAGAUGACCGGACGAUUCAUCCACGAUCGGCCUGGAUGUCUGCCCUCUGACGAAAAAAGUUUGUGUUAUUCACCAGCCUUGACCAGCUUGGUUCUGCUCCUGCCUUUGGGUCCACUUAAAAAACCUUUCAUCAAAGAUCACCUUCACAUUACAGGCUCAGCUAUCGUGUUUUGAAUCGGUCAGUAUGGGUUAUAUUAAUCAUUAGCCGGUUUGUAUCCGAUUGAUGCCAUCUGUUAUAGAUAUAUGUCAAUUCCAACAUUGUAAUUGGUAAAAUUACAGAAUGUGGUAUUGCACAUUGUUGACUUGAGUGUGACAGGUUUUUAUACCUGAAUUAAUGUGAUUCAGGCCUUUUAACAUAGACAUUUCAGUGUCCCACAUUUGGAACAGUCCACAUUAGGAAAUGCAGAUUGUGUGAACCAAUUUGGCAAUGAGACUACUGGUAUAUUAAUUCCUUUUUCUUCCUCUUCCAUGCGGGGCUCGUGCUCCCUCCGCUCCAUCAACGGAGGCCCAGCCGCUCCAGGAACACCCUCCGCUUGUUGCGCGCCAGCCACUCGGGGUGCGUCUUUCGCCAUAUCACAAAAGCGUUGUAAGCGGACACGUCGACGAUGUUGUGGAACACGACCAUGGGCCAGCGCGCGGUCAUCCUCCUGCAGCUGUAGGUUCCGACCAGCUUGUCCAGGUUGUCGAUGCCGCCCUUGGCGCGGUUGUAGUCCAGCAUGAUGGCCGGCUUCCUGUCCCGGCGAUCCUCGCACACCUCGCCGGCGGUGCACCGUGCUGAGGAGCAGCAUGUUCCUGCGCCUCUUGGCCAGGUAGGAGACCAGGAUGGUGGCGGGCGUGAACGCGAACCUGGACGACAGCACGGCACUGUCCUCGGUCUGGAGCAGCGCGGGCGGCGGCGCGGGCUUGUUCUUGCGCACCAUCCCCACCACGGUGAUGUUCCUGUCCUCGAGGAGCCGCAGCGCCAGGUCGUAGGAGGUGAAGAUAUUGUCAAACAUCACAACGUGACCCCCGCUCAGUCCCUCCGUCAAACACGACCCGCGCGCCCUGAUUCUUCUUGGGCUGCCUUCCGCCUGUUUUCCAGGGGGGGUUUUUUCAAAAAUUUAAAAAAAAUAAUGUUUUAAAUGUUUUUUUGUGCGCACGCACACACACACACACACACACACACAUGCAGAAAGGUCCAGGG